CUGGAGCAGCAGGGAGGCCUCAGGACCACGUGGGUCCAGACAGGUAGUUGGGAGACUGUCCUCUCAAGGCUCUCUCUCCUGGGUGACUGUGUUCCCAGCACAGACAGAAGUUAGAAACCCCAGAAGGCAGGAAUGAUCUAGGCACUUACCCUGUACUCUGGACCAACUGGCACAGUGGAGCAUGUGCCCCCCAAUCCCCUCAGAAAACUCAGAUUUUCAAACAACAAAAGCCUGCAAAACCAGUUGUCUCCCGGGGACUUCUCAUUUCAGUGAGCUUCAGCAAUACCACACCCAAGGCAAGGGAGCACAAAGGUACCGCCCAACGCUUGGAAUGAAGGACAAAAACCAGCAAUACGAAAUAACAUCUCAAUCCAUUUGCCUGCCACACUUGUGAUUCUUUAACUCUUGCUCUCAAUUAUAUCUGGAUUUAGGAGUGCAAAACAAAGGUUAUGCUGUAAUUUUAAUGGACUUGUUUUUAUAGGAAAAAAAAAAUUAAGUCCCAAAAUCCUAGAAAUUAUUGCUUCCGAGACUCACAGGGAUUUAAUUAGCUCCCAGUUUUGGGAUUAAAAAAAUUUUUUUAGCAG